rnacentral:lncRNA from 1 species
UAAUAAAAUGUCAGAGAUCUGGGUAAGGGGGUUGGUUAUGAAAAUGGAAGUUUACGCAUCUAAAACACCUUAGGUACUUAAGGGAAACCCUUUUGCAAAUAUGUGUUGUAGGUUGGUAUUUGGUGAAAAAGAUUUGUACAAAAGAUUGGAAGGGGUGAGAAGAGAAUAGAUUAUAUUUACAAAUUUUUGUUGGUUUGAAUGGAUGAACCCAUUGCCAUACGUACCAUCACAGGGAGGAUCAAAACCUCGUAAGUUCGGGGUAAAAAUCUCAAAGAUUGGUGAAUUGAUUUUAAUCAAAAGCCUUAAGGUCUUUUGUUAUCAAAGGGAGAAAACUCAACCUAAACCAACAAUCCACCAUGUGAGGAAGGCUUCAACAUGCCAGUGAGGGGUUAACCCUAUAAUAAGCAUGGAAGGCUUAUAAUCCAAUCACUAAGGAUGAGGUGAGAUUUACAUCAACCACUAUGAUAACUCAAACCUAUGACUAAUGUUUUUGAAAAUGUUUUAACAACGUGGCCAUUGGAACCACAAAACAACUUGCAAUGAGUUAUACUUACAAGUUAGGUUUAUUUACAAAAAUGAAGUCAAAGUUGGAUUAGAGUUUAUUUACAAUGAGUAUUAAUAAAAAUGGUUUUGAAAAGUCAAAGGCUUAAGGCCUAGGUUUCUAAUUUGAAACAAAGUCAAAGUUUUGAAAAUGGUUUUUGGUUUGGUUAGAGUGGAGAGAAGAAUAUAAGGGUUAUUCCUAAAGCAUACAAAGAUAAGAGGGGAAAGAUAAACCCUUGGAGUUCCUUUUCUUGAAGUCAUAGAGAUGAUUCAAGAUGCUCCUUUCCUUUGGGCUUAGCACACAAACAAGCAAUCAAUAAUUGAAUUCAAGCUCCUAGGAUCUCCACUUGGCAUGGCUCUUAACUUGGCUACUCAUGACAAUGGUCCUCUUUUCACAAUCUCAAGACGGGAUCCCUAUCACACAAAAACAAACAUCAAAAAGCUCACAACACAAUAAAGGGAAUGGACAAAGAAUAAGUUUGGAGGAGAAGUCCUUUGAAGUCAACUUUGAGUUUUAGCAUUCUAAAGGCAUGAGGUCUAGUUGCUCUUCAACAAAUUUUGCAUUCUAAAGGCAUGUGGCCUAGUUGCUCUUGAACUCCUUUAAGUAUGGGUAAGUCCUAAUUCUAAUUCCUUUCUCCUUUUUCAUUUGGUUCAAACAAACACAAAACAACACAAGAUAGCAAUAUAUUAAUAUACAAUAAUGGGCUCAAAUGAGCAAAAGAAAAAUGACAUAAACAUAAAAUAUGUGCUCAAAUGAGCAAAGAGAAAAUCAAUAUGAAUAAUGAGCAAGAAAUAAAUGACAUUAAAAGUAAAUGGCAAAAAGUUAAAAGCUCAAAUUAAAGUUAGUAAUUUGUGGAGUUAUGUUAGUUUGUCAUAAGACAAUGUAGCGCUAUGUUAAGCAAUCGUAAGUGGACUAAUAUAGUAGUCACACCUAUCUGAGGUCGGUCAAUAAGAAUAUAGGCAAAGAACAUAAGUUAGAGGUCAUGACUAGUAAGCCAAGCUCCAUAAACUUGCCAUGCCAAAACAAAAGGGGAAGGGCCUUGUAUUGACUUUAGGUUAUUUGCUUGACCAAGAAGCAACCUAUCUUGGACACAAAACAAUUCACUUGAUCAUGGAUCAAGUUGAGUUUGGUUUGGAUCAAAGAAGAUUAAACUCCUCAUUUGUCAAGACCAACUUCAAGACUUUAACUCAUUGGCCAUUGAUGGAAAGAAAGGGAUGGAAAAAGAAGACAACAACCAAAUCCAAUUGACCAAAGUUGAUUCAAAUCAAACUCAAUCAACACCAAACAACAAAGAAAUGAAGAUAACAAGUCAAGAGGUCAAUCAUAUUUUUUUGGUAUUUUUUUGAAUUAAAAAAAAAUGAAAAUAAAAAAUAAACAAAUAAGGUUGAAACUCAAAUUCAAUUCAAAUCAACUUCAAAAAGUCCAAUUAAAUUCUCAUAGGUUCAACAUAGUCAAACAAGCUUUGACUAAUUUUCUCACAAAUUUUUGAAAUCAGAAAGUAAUUAAAAACAAUUAAAAAUAGCAUAAUAUGAAUUAGACUAAUUUUCUCACAAAUUUUUGAAAUCAGAAAGUAAUUAAAAACAAUUAAAAAUAGCAUAAUAUGAAUUAAAAUCUCAAAUAAUCUCAAAACAAUCAAGAAAUUGUUGAGACUAUUUUUCAUUGAUUUAUCAUGAUCCAUAGAUGCUACGAAAAUAUUUUUGGAUUUUUUAGAAGUAAAAAAGUAUUUUAAAAUGAAUUAAAAACAUUAAAAACCAAGUAAUUCAUAAAAAAUAUCAAAUGAAGUCACAAAAAUAAUUAAAAAUCAUAAUAUGAAACUAGAUUUUUCAAGAAAUAGUUUGGAAUUGGUCUCAUAUUUUUCUGACUUCAAAUGAAUUUUUCAUGAAUUUUUGAAAAUAAAAGGAGUUAACAAAAAAUAAAAAGAAAAUAGAAUAAACGGAAAAUGCACAGCCACAUGAUGCAAUUCAUUAAUUGACGUGGCAUCAAUGGAUGGUCCAGAUCCGAGGGAACACAAUGCACUCGAGUCAAACGCGCUACACAAAGCAUUAAAUGAAGUAAUUGGAAUGGAUGUGUGAGAUUAGAUCCUGAACACAAGAUCCAAAGGCCAUAAAAGUGCACACGUGGUGAUGGUGGUGGAAACCACCAUCUUCUCCGGCGAGACAACAACUUUCGGCCACCAGUUGCAGAGAAAUAAAUUUUAAUGAAAAUGAAAAACAAGAACAUGGAAAUGAAGCUCGUGUGAUGGAGAUCACCAAUGUACCAUUGGAUCUCCCUCACUUUUCCUAUAUUGAGAUAAAUGUGAAGGAGAAGAUCAUGGUGUUCAUACUGAAAGUUCAUGAAAUAAAGAAUUGAAAGCACCAAUGGCUUGCCUCAAGUUUGAGGACUUCAGAAAACCACAGAAACACAAGGAUACUACAUUGAAUUAAGAGUUCUAGAUCCAAAAAGUUUGAGAUUAUACCUCUGAAUUUAUGAACUCCUGGCCAUGAAUUCCCCAAGAUCUUUGCUCCUCUUUGAUCCUUGAGUGUAAUGGAAGUGAUAGGCUAAGGGAUUUAGCUUUAAAACUCAGCUAAUGAUGAUGAAUUUCAAGCUCGAAAAUGGAAGAAAAAGUGAUUAAUUCCUUUGCUAUGGAUAUGGUUUUACUUCUACAGCACUUGGGAUCUCCAAAAGGUUGAUGAAUGAAGCUCAUGGCGCCUCUAUUUAUAACUGAAUGUGGCUGAAUCCCACGCUUCUUUCAUGUGCAUGGCAAUUUGAAUUUUGUUUGCAUGGGUCUGUGCAAGCGUGUGGAAGGCCCAAUGAUGAAUGAAAAAUCUUGUUGAUACCACAUGAAAGUGAUUUGGACGUGCACUUUGGAGGGAAACAACUUGCAUAUUCAAGUUUCAUCAUAAAAUACCAAAAUGCACAUAAAUGGAAAUGAAUUCGAAACUCACCAAUGGUAAACCCCAUGGACUAUUGUGAGUAAUGGUUGGAAAGCCUUUGAAAUAAGGAACAAAAGUCAUGUUGGGAAAAAAAUAAUUUGGCAUUUGCAAAUUGAUCAAAACUGGCUGGGAAAAUCCAAGUACAAAACAUGUUCAAAUCAUUUUGAAAAAGUUCACCAAAAACAAGCUUAAUCAAGCCCUUCUGUCUUCAUGAUACAAGAUUCAAAUGAGAAAACCUCCAACAUAAAAGUUAUAGAUAUUUUCAAGAUGGUCAAUAUAGACUCAAAGUUUGCAUCAUUUAGAUUUUCUAUGACAAAGGUAUGGGCUUUUGAAGUUGGGUACUUUUUCAAAUUCAAUGAAUUAGGUCCAAGAUGACCUAUAAUGUCUUGCAUUAUCACAUGUAUUUAUUUUAGGAUUAUGAAAUUUUGUCCAAUAUAACAUUUGAAGUAUACAUCUCAAUAUUUCCAAUUCAUUCUGUCUCACCUCAAAAUAAUAAAAAUUAAGGAAGUUAUGCCCUUGGUAAGUUGACCCAAAAUUAGGGUUUCAGUCAAAUUGACCUAUAAUGUUUUGAUAUGAAUGAUGACCUUCCAAGUUUCAAAUGGAUUUUUGAUGAACAUGAAAGUUGUUCAUAUGGCUCCUAGAAACAUUUUUACUCUUGGGGUAAUCUUCAUUUGACAAACACAUCAAAAGUUAUAUCCCAUUGAACCUCAACUUAGUUAGAUGACUUGACUGGUUAACUUUUCAAGGCCAAACUUCCAAUCUUGAUGAAUGAAUGAUUGAGGAUCCUCAAAUAGGCUCACAUAUGAAUAAAAUGAUAAAUAAAAUAACUUCCCCUGAUUAAAUUUGAUCAGAGGUUGAGGUUGCUUCAUGGGCAAGGCACAAUCAAAGAAUAGUGAAAUUAGGGUUUCCUUAGGAAACAAUCCUCAAGCCCUUUGGGUUAUCUUGAUCAAAUUGGCAAAUUGAGAUACUUGGGAGACAUAUAUGAUGAUUAGGAGCUAUGUGGACCAUUGUCAUGCUUUUUCUCAUCUUCAUCUAGCCAUUGCAUUGGGCUUAGGAGCCUCCUAAGAGCAUUGGAGCACAUGAUCACUUGAGCUUCAAAACAAAAAAAGUUAGUGACAUAUUUUUGUGCUUUUGGUUAGUAAUCAAAUAAGAAAAGAAAUAAUAUACAAUACAAGCAUGAUUGGUGAUCUCAAGACACUCAAACAAGUCCCAACCCUAGGGUUAAGGAGCCAAACAUGUUAUGAUCCUUGAGACAAUGCACUUGUGCAAUAACAUGAUGUCAUGAGGGAUCUUAGGGUCUUACAUAGUGCAAUCGAUAUUUCAAAAAAUCCAAUCAUGCAUUCUAGAACCAAGCACAUUGAUAUACGUCAUCACUUCUUAAAGAAUCAUGUUAUAAAAGGCGAUAUUUAAAUUUCCUUCAUUGAUACUCAAAAUCAACUAGCAGACAUCUUUACAAAGUCGCUUCCAAGAGAUGCAUUUUGUAAAAUUAGAAGAGAUCUUAGUAUUCUAAGCGAAAGUGAUAUUUAAUCACGUCAAGAACCUUGGAAAUUUCAUCCGAAUACAUUCACAAAAUCUCAUAUAAGGUACAUGCAUUAUUCUUCAUUAAAAUUUAUUUAUCUGUAGAAAUAUACUUGUUUAUAUUGAUUUUAUUGAUUUUCAUUCAUAUAAUUUGAUUAUACUAUACUUGAUUAUAUUUUAUUCAUUUUUUUAUUACUUUGAUUUUAUUAUAUAAUAUUUUAUUAUAUGAUUUUAUAAGAUUUGGUUAUAUGAUCUUUGUGAUUUCCUUUUCUUAAUUGAAUAAUUAUUUAAAAUAAUUUUCAAUAUUUUUUUCAGGAUCAAUCGAUUAUGUAUAUAUUACAAUCGAUUGAAAUGAGUAAAUGCGAUUUUCAGAUUUGGCAUAAUCAAUUGCACCUAUCCUUCAAUAGAUUACACCUGAAGCAUAUUCCUUUUUUAUUAAGUUUCAAUCAAUUACAACAUUAUUUCAAUCGACUACAUCUGAAGCAUGUUCUUUUUUUAUUAAGUUUCAAUCGAUUACACCUGAUAUAAUAUUUCCUUUUUUAUUGAGAUGCAAUCGAUUGCACCCCUUCUUCAAUCAAUUGCACCUGAAGCGUAAUAUGCAAUUUAAUUAAGCUGCAAUUGAUUAUAAUAUGUCGUCAAUCGAUUACAAUUGUAUGAGUUCUUAAUUACUUUUUUGUUUUUUUUCUGUCACGUGAUUAUUAUUAUUAUUUAUUAUUAUUAUUAUUAUUAUGUUUAAGUUUAUGAUUUGUUAAGUUUAUGUUUUUGUUAAAGUUUAGUUUUUAUUCUUAUUAUGUUAUAAGACUAUGUUCUUUUAAAUUUUUAUGGUUUAUUUCUGUGUUAUUUCAGACAUUGGUUAUGUUUCUAAAAUUUUACUUCUAGAUCAUUAUAUCCUUUCCCUAUUUUUUACUUUCAAUUAUAUUUUUCUCUUCUUUUUGAUUAUGACAAAGGGGAGAAUAUAUUAUAUAUGUGUUAUGCUUGCAAUCUAACUUUUUUAAAAAGUAUCAAAGUUAGUAUGAUUUGUCAAAUUUAGGGAGAGUUAUCCAAGAAUAUAAUUUUAAGAGAAAGGAGGAGCAUUGUGAUCAAAAUUAUUCUUCUUUACACAUAUGGUUGUCAUUAUCAAAAAGGAGGAGAUUGUGAAGACAAUCUUCUAACAAAUUUUGAUGAAGACAAUGGUCUCAAACUCAAGUAUUUUUAUCAAAGAAGAAGAGGAAAAAUUGUUUAUGAUCAAUCAAGAUAUAUGAAAAUUCAUAUCAUAUGCAAUCUUAAAGGGCUCAAUUUUACUUGUCAUGCACUUCAAAAUAUUCAUGUCAUACUUUGUUAAAAUGUUUUUAAAAUGUUUUAAUUGCAUAGGAUGAAAAUAAAUUUUGAUGCAUGUAUGAAGUUGUGGACUUAGAAAAAAAUUUAAAAUAAUUCAGCAUGCAAUCAAUUAACAUAAUUAUGCAAUCAAUUGAGUGGAACUUUGAAAUUCAUAAUUUUAACCCCUUGAAUCGAUUAACAUGAUCAUGUAAUCGAUUGCACAUUGCAUUUUUUCAAAAUUUUAGCCCUUGCAAUCGAUUGCACUUGAACAAGUUUUAAAAAAUGAUGAAUUGUGUUAACUACUUCAGUCACUCCUUUUCAUGGCAUCUCCUAAUUAUAAUUUCAUUAUAUUUCAUAAAUAUUUUCCAACCAUUGUCAUGUUUUAUUAAUGGGUUCUUUCAUCACUAUAAAUAUAUUUCAAAAUUUCAUUUUACAACUACCUCUUUCAAAUUAAUCAUAAAAUCUCUCUACAUAAUUUUCAACAGAACCUUUACAUAAGAUACUUUUUGAAAUACAUUUUCAUAUCAUAUUCAACAAAAUACCUGAGUACUUAGAGAAAAUUUGUUCUUGAAUCUUCAUAUUUUGAAAUAGCAAAAGAUUUUAAUCAUUUGAUUAAAUCUUGUCCAUUAUACAAAUUUACUUCUUAUACAAAUUAUUAUUGUAAAUUCCUAAGUAUCAAGGAUUGUUUGAUAUUAUGUGUGGUUACUUAUCAUCUAAGAUUAUUGGAGAUAAGGUUCAAGAAAAGGGAGGAUUGUUUUCUUUUCUUGUGAAACAAGUUUCAAGAGGAUUGUUCCUGAUAACUUGGUUAAAUGCUUGUUUGGAAAGAUCUAACUAUAACAAAAUCUCUUACAUACUGUAAGGGGACUAGAGUACUCUCGGAUUAUGAGGGGAACCAGGAUAAUUUUUGAUGUUCUUUAUUUUUUUUACUUUACUAUUUUCUUCUCCUAACCAAAUUAGAAAAUAAAAAACCAUUAUCCAUUAAAACAGGAUAAAGUUUUUAAAGUCCUAAUCCCCUUCCCCCUUCUCUUAGGCUUAUUCAUAACUUACAAAGAUAUUGUUUAAUGUCAUCACUCAUUUUUUAGCAUCCUCCUCAUAUGAAUUCCCAUAAGACCCAAAUUAUCUUGCUCAUGGUUACCCAACACACUAUCUACUGACUUGGCAAGACUAUUUGUUCCACUCCAAGUUACCAAGCACCUCAAAAUAUGAUGUUGUUGCAAAGAAUUUUGAUCCUCA